AUUGAACGCUGGCGGCAUGCUUUACACAUGCAAGUCGAACGGUAACAGGCCUUCGGGUGCUGACGAGUGGCGAACGGGGGGGUAAUGCAUCGGAACGUACCCAGAGGUGGGGGAUAACGGAGCGAAAGCUGUGCUAAUACCGCACGUGAACUGAGGAUGAAAGCGGGGGACCGAGCAGCAAUGUUUGGCCUCGCGCCUUUGGAGCGGCCGAUGUCGGAUUAGCUAGUUGGUGGGGUAAAGGCAUACCAAGGCGACGAUCCGUAGCUGGUCUGAGAGGACGACCAGCCACACUGGGACUGAGACUCGGCCCCGACUCCUACGGGAAGACACAGUGGGGAAUUUUGCGCGAUGGGCGCGAGCCUGAUACAGCAAUGCCGCGUGCGGGAAGAAGGACUUCGGGUUGUAAACCGAUUUUGGCAGGAGCGAAGCAGUGUCCGCUAAUACCGGGCGAUAAUGACGGUACCUGCAGAAUAAGCACCGGCUAACUACGUG
rnacentral:rRNA from 1 species